rnacentral:rRNA from 1 species
GACGAACGCUGGCGGCGUGCCUAAUACAUGCAAGUCGAACGCAGUGGGGACGGGUGAGUAACACGUGGGUAACCUCCCAUCAGAGGGGAUAACACUUGGAAACAGGUGCUAAACCGAUACUGAUGGAUGGACCCGCGGUGCAUUAGCUAGUUGGUGAGGUAACGGCUCACCAAGGAAACGAUGCAUAGCCGACCGGAGAGUGUGAUCGGCCACACGGGGACAGGGAAACGGCCAAGAAUCCUACGGGAGGCAGCAGUAGGGAAUCUUCGGAAAUGGAAGGAAGUCUGACCGAGCAACGCCGCGGGAGAUAAGAAGGUUUUCGGAUCGUAAAGCUCUGUUGUUAGAGAAGCGGUAACUAACCAGAAAGGGACGGCUAACUCCGUGCCAGCAGCCGCGGUAAUAC